rnacentral:tRNA from 1 species
UAGAACGUUAGCUCAGCUGGUUAGAGCACUCGACUUUUAAUCGAGAUGUCGAUGGGUUCAAAUCCCUCACGUUCUACCAA